rnacentral:lncRNA from 1 species
GUUUACAGCCAUCUUAAAUUCCUCAUAGAAAAGGGGGAAGGAGCCCAGAGGGGAGGGGAAGUCCCCGGGGGUGGGGGGCGGCACCCCAGCCCCGACAAGGACGUCCCCCGGGCAGCUUGCCCCAACCAGGGCACGCCGAGGGCCACAGCAUUAAAAACCCCCACACCCCAUGUUAUCAAAACCAAAGAGGCAAAAAAAAGUACCCUUCCCCCCCAAAACCCAAAUAUAUAUAUAUAUUUAUAUACUUCUUAAAAAACAAAACUUCGAAGGCAUUAAGCGUUAAAGUGAAUCUAAACAAGGGAAUGUGAAUUCCCUCUUCCCUUCCCCCUUACUGUGGGGUUAAUGGUACAUCCCCAGCAGAGGAACCAGCCCCAAGGGGAUGGCAGAGGGGAAGGACCAAAGGGAGCAAAGGGUGGGGGCCUCCCCAGCCAAUCAGCAGCCAGUACGGGUGUGGGCACGGUGCAGGGAAGCAGGGUAACAGGCGGGGUGUGCGGAAAGAAGUGGGCCCCUGCGGUCAGGGGGAGCCCCGCUUCCUCAGCUCCUGGACAAAGGCUGGAAGGAAAGAGGGGGCAAAGCUCAGGGCAGGGGCUCUUUCCCCUUCCGUUCCAAUCUUCCCAAAAGACAGGCGGCCUCCAAACCACACAGGCGCCUCACGGGGCGCGGGCAGGCGCCUCACCUUCGAUGAUCUCCUCUUUCACCUUCCGCAGCUCCUUCCUCACCUCCUCCAGCAGCUCCUGGAACCACAGGGUUCACCAGUGGGCGGGGCCCGGAGCGGCAGGAAGCCCCCUGUCUCCCACUCGCUGAGAGUCGGAGGAAGCGGGCUGGAGACCGCCCGGCCCCGCCCUCCCUGCCAAGGUCACAGAGAGAACUGGAGGGCAUCCAGGACACAGGCUGGCAAACGCCUCCCAGCCUCCUGCCAGCUCCGGCGGGGUCUCAGGUGCUCAUCGGAAAGGAGUGUGGUGAUGGAUUAUAAGGCCUGUCACAGCCGUUGAAAGGGGUGCGGCACCUGCGUCAUCCCUGACCCCGCCGAUGGCUCCCCCUUCUCAGACCGGACACCCAGGGUCUGGACCCAGCGCCCCUCCUGCCGUGGGCCCUGGCUAGGCCCCCACCUGCACCUUCCACCCCUACCUGUUUCACCCGCUCCAGGUCCGAGUCGUCACCGGAGCUGUGGUGGGAGGGGUGGGCCUCGGGGGUGGCCACCGAAGACGAGGACUUCAUCCUGGGGGGGACAGAAGCGAAGUCAGAGGCCCUGCCACCCGCGGAGGCGCCGCGCCCGCCGCGCCCCCCGCGCCCGCUGCGCCCGCCGCGCCCGCCGGCCCUCCUGGGCAAGGUUGAGCUCCUCUUCUCCCAGGGCCUCCGUCAAGAUUCUGGUGAAGAGACCAACAUGCCGCGGGGUCGGGGCAAAAGCUUCCUCCCCCCAUAGUAGCCCCGCUGAAGAAAAACG